UGGGGAAUCUUGCGCAAUGGGCGAAAGCCUGACGCAGCGACGCCGCGUGAGCGAUGAAGGCCUUCGGGUUGUAAAGCUCUGUGGGGAGGGAAGAAUAAGGCUUGGCUAAUAUCCAAGUUGAUGACGGUACCUCCUUAGCAAGCACCGGCUAACUCUGUGCCAGCAGCCGCGGUAAGACAGAGGGUGCAAACGUUGUUCGGAAUUACUGGGCGUAAAGCGCGUGUAGGCGGCUAAGUAAGUCGGGCGUGAAAUCCCACGGCUCAACCGUGGAAGUGCACUCGAAACUGCAUAGCUAGAGUCCUGGAGAGGAAGGUGGAAUGCUUGGUGUAGAGGUGAAAUUCGUAGAUAUCAAGCGGAACACCGGUGGCGAAGGCGGCCUUCUGGACAGUGACUGACGCUGAGACGCGAAAGCGUGGGGAGCAAACAGGAUUAGAUACCCCCGUAGUCC
rnacentral:rRNA from 1 species